rnacentral:misc_RNA from 1 species
GAAAUGCGAUAAGUAGUGUGAAUUGCAGAAUUCAGUGAAUCAUCGAAUCUUUGAACGCACAUUGCGCCCUUUGGUAUUCCAAAGGGCAUGCCUGUACGAGCGUCAUUUGUACCCUCAAGCUUUGCUUGGUGUUGGGCGUCUUGUCUCUAGCUUUGCUGGAGACUCGCCUUAAAGUAAUUGGCAGCCGGCCUACUGGUUUCGGAGCGCAGCACAAGUCGCACUCUCUAUCAGCAAAGGUCUAGCAUCCAUUAAGCCUUUUUUCAACUUUUGACCUCGGAUCAGGUAGGGAUACCCGCUGAACUUAAGC